rnacentral:misc_RNA from 1 species
ACAAUUUCUUCAAAUUGAAAUUUCAAGUUUCAACAUUAUCCAAAAAUAAAAGGAGCUAAAUAGGGCAAUUGUUCCAUUUAAUACUUACAAAUGUAAAUCAUCUUAGUAGAGACAGCAAACCAAACAAAGACUAUAGAAGCACAGGUUCAGGAGCAAGGCAACCCGUGUUUAUUUAUUAUCAUAAGAUGGUCGGAAGGUUAGAGAUGCUCAAAAUAUGAUAAACCCUUUCUCCUUCAAGCUUUCAACUGUUUCCUUCAAGCUCACAUUCAAGGGAAUGAAAUCAAUACCCAGGCUCUUUGCUUUUUCCUUGGACAGCUGAUACGUUGGCACGUAAGGCUUAUCGUCUGCACACCUGCAAAGGUUUCCCAGCAAGAAAACUAAUUUAAAAUCUACCACUGAUACAACAGAAAAUAAAUAUGUAGAAAACAAUUUAAUUUAAUAAUAUAAUGCAAGCUAACAUAAAAGUAGAAAACUUUUUCCUUCUUUCACAUCUUUAACCAAAUAAUUGUUCUCUAUGUGCUUAUCAACCAGCACAUGAAUGGGAGGAACACACACAUAGUUACAUAUUGCAAAAAAGCAACAAAAGAAUGGAAAGAGACAUUGUCAUCCUUGUUAAUUGCUGCCUGUUCUACCAAGUAACAUGCACAACUUGGCUAAAACCACACAAAACAAGUGACAA